UACGUAGGGUGCGAGCGUUAAUCGGAAUUACUGGGCGUAAAGCGUGCGCAGGCGGUUUUGUAAGCCAGAUGUGAAAUCCCCGGGCUUAACCUGGGAAUGGCAUUUGGGACUGCAAGGCUGGAGUUUGGCAGAGGAGACUGGAAUUCCCGGUGUAGCAGUGAAAUGCGUAGAGAUGUGGAGGAACACCGAUGGCGAAGGCAGCCCCCUGGGUCAAGAUUGACGCUCAUGCACGAAAGCGUGGGGAGCAAACAGG
rnacentral:rRNA from 1 species